AUUGAACGCUGGCGGCAUGCUUUACACAUGCAAGUCGAACGGUAACAGGCCGCAAGGUGCUGACGAGUGGCGAACGGGUGAGUAAUGCAUCGGAACGGGCCCAGUCGUGGGGGAUAACUACUCGAUAGAGUAGCUAAUACCGCAUACGAUCUAUGGAUGAAAGCGGGGGACCGUAAUGCCGCGCGCGAUUGGAGCGGCCGCUGUCAGAUUAGCUAGUUUGUGGGGUAAAGGCUCCCCAAGCCAACGAUCUGUAGCUGGUCUGGGAGGAGGACCCGCCACACUGGGACUGAGACACGGCCCAGACUCCUACGGGAGGCAGCAGUGGGGAAUUUUGGGCAAUGGGCGCAAGCCUGAUCGAGCAAUGCCGCGUGAAGGAAGAAGGCCUUCGGAUUGUAAACUGCUUUUGUACGGAAAGAAACGGCUCUUGUUAAUACACGGGGGUAAUGACGGUACCGUAAGAAUAAGCACCGGCUAACUACGUG
rnacentral:rRNA from 1 species